UGUGUGUUCAACAUCGCUUUAUUCACAUUUCCACGCACACUCAUGACACAGUCGUGCUCACAGGCGCCGGAUGCUGCCGCACAAACAGCUGUCACGACUCCCUCCCUCAGCUGUGUGUGUGCUGUCGACCCAGAAAGGCUCUUCUUUUUGCAACUAUAGUCUCCAUCACCCUCCAACCCCCUCCAGCCGCCAUGCUCCCCGUCUCUCUCCCCUCACACUCGAACUGAACGAGAAAUGCUGACAAACAGAAGCUCUGCUGCACAAACCGAGAGCUGUCAUGUACUCAGCAGAGAGGCGAGAGUAUAAAAAAGCGUCCAAACGCUGACAGUCAUCCUGCAGCUGCUCUAAUUCUUUGACACAAGUGGAGGGAUCGAAGCCAACGUGACAUGGAGGGGAGCAAGGAGCAGCAAGUUGUGUAACAAAUUCAAAAGAGGGUGAAAUUUACAGUAAAUCCAACAAGAUGUUUAAGAGUCACAUUUACAAAAGUACAGGGAGGAUAUCUGACACAGUUUUUACAGAAUGAUCCGCAAAAAAAUAACUUUACAUCAGGAUAUUAGAGCACAAUAAAACGACACUGGAAAUCUAACAGACGUAUUUUUACGCACAAACAAUUACACAAACUUUCAGACUAAAAUAAACAAACACACACAUGAAGCAUGAAGAGGUUGUACGUUUUUCCAGAGUAGAGUACAUUUUUUUUCUACUGUAUAGUCGUGUAUCAAAGCUGUAUAUUUAUAUGUUUAAUUAAAAAACUCACAGUCUGAAAUAUGGAGCUCAUUUUUACGCACAAACAUCAGCAAAAGAGUUCUCUCUAAAAAUAGCACACACUCACACACACAGUCACACACGUGAAGCAUGGAGAGGUAAGUUUUUUCAGGGUGUAGUACAUUUUUUGUACUGUAUAGUUGUGUAUCAUGGCUGUACAUACUUUUAAUUAAAAAACUCACAGUCUGAAAUAUGGAGCUCAUUUUUACGCACAAACAUCAGCAGAAAUGUUCUCUCUAAAAAUAGCACACACUCACACACACAGUCACACACGUGAAGCAUGGAGAGGUUGUAAGUUUUUCCAGAGUACAUUUUUCUCUUGUAUAGUUGUGUAUCAUAGCUGCACACAUAUCGUUUCAUUAAAAAACUCACAACCUAUAAUUUGGAGCUCAUUUUUAGGCACAAAUAAUUACACAAACUUUCAGACUAAAAUAAACACACAGACACAAACACACAGUCAUACACGUGAAGCAUGAAGAGGUUGUAAGUUUUUUUCCAGAGUACAUUUUUGUACUGUAUAGUUGUGUAUCAAAGCUGUAUAUU